rnacentral:rRNA from 1 species
UACGGGGGGGGCAAGCGUUGUUCGGAAUUACUGGGCGUAAAGCGCGCGUAGGCGGCUUUUCAAGUCAGACGUGAAAGCCCCAGGCUUAACCUGGGAAUUGCGUUUGAUACUGUUGAGCUAGAGUGUGGAAGGGGCUACUGGAAUUCUGUGUGUAGCGGUGAAAUGCGUAGAUAUACGGAGGAACACCAGCGGCGAAGGCGGGUAGCUGGGCCAACACUGACGCUGAUGCGCGAAAGCUAGGGUAGCAAACGGG